rnacentral:rRNA from 1 species
UACGUAGGGUGCGAGCGUUGCCCGGAUUUAUUGGGCGUAAAGGGCGCGUAGGCGGCCACGCACGUCCGUUGUGAAAUCGCCCGGCUCAACUGGGCGGGGUCAGCGGAUACGGUGUGGCUCGAGCAAGCUAGGGGGCAAUGGAAUUCCCGGUGUAGUGGUGGAAUGCGUAGAUAUCAGGAGGAACACCUGUGGCGAAAGCGGCUCACUGGACCAUAACUGACGCUGAUGCACGAAAGCUAGGGGAGCAAACAGG